rnacentral:rRNA from 1 species
CCUACGGGAGGCUGCAGUGAGGAAUAUUGGUCAAUGGGCGAGAGCCUGAACCAGCCACGUAGCGUGAAGGAUGACUGCCCUACGGGUUGUACACUUCUUUUAUAUAGGAAUAAAAUGGGGUACGUAUACCAUCUUGUAUGUACCAUAAGAAUCAGGAUCGGCUAACUCCGUGCCAGCAGCCGCGGUAAUACGGAUGAUCCGAGCGUUAUCCGGAUUUAGUGGGUUUAAAGGGAGUGUAGAUGGGUUGUUAAGCCCGUUGUGAAAGUUUGCGGCUCAACUGUAAAAUUGCAGUUUAUACUGGCAGUCUGGAGUACAGUAGAGGUAGGCGGAAUGCGUGGGGUAGCGGUGAAAUGAUUAGAUAUCACGAAGAACUCCGAUUGCGAAGGCAGCUCACUAGACUGCAACUGACACUGAUGCUCGAAAGUGUGGGUAUCAAACAGGAUUAGAUACCCGAGUAGUC